AGUGAUUGAUAUCAUGAGCGUCGAUUUCCGCAGAAUGGUUACUAUGGCAUUUAUCAUCUAAUCAGCGAGUCUGACCUCACGAUCCCGUUUGUAUGGGUUGCUGAUUAUAACCCGGAUGUUCACGUGUGUAGUGACUUUUAACAAAGUGAAUCACAGAGAGCUGGAGACACAAUUGUUAUGCGUGGUUAUUGCAGGGCUGACGUGGGGAAAACCCGUCUAUCUAAAUAUAGACCUGACUCACUACCGGUUUUUAUGUCCUCGGUCGUUCGGCAAAUCAAGCCGGCAAAAGCGUCUGUGCGAUAACACAACCUGACACUAGCACUGUGCAGUGAAACACAUCUACACUGCACAGUUUUCAACAUGCCAUCGGAGGGAACGGUCUGUAUGUCGUCAAGCACAAUGACGUACACAGCUGGGAUCAUAAGAACGCCUGAACAAAAUACUCUACCACCCACCAGCAUCAACACCGUCGUCAGCAACAUCAUCAACAACAGCAGCAGUAUCAGUAGCAACAAAAGCAGAAGCAUCACCACUUCAAGCAUCAGAAACAGCACCAGCAGCAGUAGCAACAGCAGAAGCGGCAGCAACAAGAGCAGCGUCGCCGCUACCAGGACCAGCAGAUGGGGGAGAUGCAGGAAGUGUUCACAGCAAGAUGCAACACUGGCGUUCCUGCCCUGUGGUCACGUGGUGUGUUGUUCCGAGUGUGGCCUGACGGUGACCGCUUGUGUGGUGUGUGGGAGGGGCAUUCGAGGCUCAAUAAGGACCGACCUUCACGAACAUGUAUAGUACUAUACAGGAACAAUAGAUUGCCGUAACGUUCAUGACGUUAAUUGUCGUCCUUAGUCAGAUAUACAUGAUUGUAAUCACUUGUGUGUUUUUUUAAAACAUGAAAAUAGACAUACAAAUUUUUAACGAAA